AGUGAACGCUGGCGGUAGGCCUAACACAUGCAAGUCGAACGGCAGCACAGUAAGAGCUUGCUCUUACGGGUGGCGAGUGGCGGACGGGUGAGGAAUACAUCGGAAUCUACUUUUUCGUGGGGGAUAACGUAGGGAAACUUACGCUAAUACCGCAUACGCCCUACGGGUGAAAGCAGGGGAUCUUCGGACCUUGCGCGAUUGAAUGAGCCGAUGGCGGAUUAGCUAGUUGGCGGGGUAAAGGCCCACCAAGGCGACGAUCCGUAGCUGGUCUGAGAGGAUGAUUAGCCACACUGGAACUGAGACACGGUCCAGACUCCUACGGGAGGCAGCAGGGGGGAAUAUUGGACAAUGGGCGCAAGCCUGAUCCAGCCAUACCGCGUGGGUGAAGAAGGCCUUCGGGUUGUAAAGCCCUUUUGUUGGGAAAGAAAAGCAGCAGGUUAAUACCCCGCUGUUCUGACGGUACCCAAAUAAUAAGCACCGGCUAACUUCGUG
rnacentral:rRNA from 1 species